rnacentral:lncRNA from 1 species
CAGCGUAUGCUGCAAUAAAAACUGCAAGGAAGUCUGCCGGGCUCACAUCAGGGCUGUAUCGGGACUGCAUCAGCCCUGAUGUGAGCCCGGCAGACUUUUUCCUGUUCCCAAAGCUCAAAAGAAGCCAGAAAGGUCACUGUUUCAACUGUGUUCCUGCCAUCCAAAGGGCUGUCACAGGCU